CCUACGGGUGGCAGCAGUGAGGAAUAUUGGUCAAUGGACGAGAGUCUGAACCAGCCAAGUAGCGUGAAGGAUGACUGCCCUAUGGGUUGUAAACUUCUUUUAUAAAGGAAUAAAACGAGGCACGUGUGCCUGUUUGCAUGUACUUUAUGAAUAAGGAUCGGCUAACUCCGUGCCAGCAGCCGCGGUAAUACGGAGGAUCCGAGCGUUAUCCGGAUUUAUUGGGUUUAAAGGGAGCGUAGAUGGGUUGUUAAGUCAGUUGUGAAAGUUUGCGGCUCAACCGUAAAAUUGCAAUGGAUACUGGCAGUCUUGAGUACAGUUGAGGUAGGCGGAAUUCGUGGUGUAGCGGUGAAAUGCUUAGAUAUCACGAAGAACCCCGAUUGCGAAGGCAGCUUACUAAACUGUGACUGACAUUGAUGCUCGAAAGUGUGGGUAUCAAACAGGAUUAGAUACCCGAGUAGUC
rnacentral:rRNA from 1 species